CAUGAGUGGCGGACGGGUGAGUAACGCGUGGGCAACCUGGCCUGUACAGGGGGAUAACACUUAGAAAUAGGUGCUAAUACCGCAUAACGGGGGAAGCCGCAUGGCUUUUCCCUGAAAACUCCGGUGGUACAGGAUGGGCCCGCGUCUGAUUAGCCAGUUGGCAGGGUAACGGCCUACCAAAGCGACGAUCAGUAGCCGGCCUGAGAGGGCGGACGGCCACAUUGGGACUGAGACACGGCCCAAACUCCUACGGGAGGCAGCAG
rnacentral:rRNA from 1 species